rnacentral:rRNA from 1 species
CGUAAGGCGCCGAAUGAGUCAUUAAAAAAUUAACAUCAUCCGAUCCCUAGUCGGCAUAGUUUAUGGUUAAGACUACGACGGUAUCUGAUCGUCUUCGAUCCCCCUAACUUUCGUUCUUGAUUAAUGAAAACAUCCUUGGCAAAUGCUUUCGCAGUAGUUUAGUCUUCAAUAAAUCCAAGAAUUUCACCUCUGACAAUUGAAUACUAAUGCCCCCCAACUAUCCCUAUUAAUCAUUACGUCAAUCUUAGAAACCUAACAAAAUAAGAUCGAACGUCCUAUUUCAUUAUUCCAUGCUAAUGUAUUCAAGCGUUAGCCUGCUUUAAACACUCUAAUUUUUUCAAGUAACAGUCCAGUCUCCCCGCAACACCAAAUUAAUGGCAUUACGGUUCAUCAGGAAGGAGGAGCCAGUAAGACCAGUGCAUACCAGUGGCACGACCAAUCUACUGACCCCGAAAUUCAACUACGAGCUUUUUAACUGCAACAACUUUAAUAUACGCUAUUGGAGCUGGAUUACCGCGGC